CCAACGACUCUCGGCAACGGAUAUCUCGGCUCACGCAUCGAUGAAGAACGUAGCAAAAUGCGAUACUUGGUGUGAAUUGCAGAAUCCCGUGAACCAUCGAGUUUUUGAACGCAAGUUGCGCCCAAAGCCAUUCGGUCGAGGGCACGUCUGCCUGGGCGUCACAC
rnacentral:rRNA from 2 species